GAAAUUUAUGAACCUAGUGGCUCUUCAAUUUCCGGGAAGUCUCAAAGAGAUUCAUCUUCUGCUCUCGAAAUUUAUGAACCUAGUGGCUCUUCAAUUUCCAGGAAGUUUCAAAGAGAUUCAUCUUCUGCUCUUGAAAUUGAUGAACCUAGUGGCUCUUCAAUUUCUGGGAAGUCUCAGAGAGAUCCAUCUUCUGCUCUCGAAAUUGAUGAACCUAGUGGCUCUUCAAUUUCCGCGAAGUCUCAAAGAGAUCCGUCUUCUGCUCUCGAAAUUUAUGAACCUAGUGGCUCUUCAUUUUCCGAGAAGUCUCAAAGAGAUCCAUCUUUUGGUCUCAAAAUGGAUGAACCUAGUGGCUCUUCAAUUUCCGGGAAGUCUCAAAGAGAUCCAUCUUCUGCUCUCGAAAUUAAUGAACCUAGUGGCUCUUCAAUUUCCAAGAAGUCUCAAAGAGAUCCAUCUUCUGCUCUCAAAAUUUAUGAACCUAGUGGCGCUUCAAUUUCCGGGAAGUCUAAAAGAGAUCCAUCUUCUGCUCUCGAAAUUUAUGAACCUAGUGGCUUUACAGAGUUGACAACAUCCAAUGUCAAAAGAUUACUCUACAAAAUGAAAAAUAUUUUCCUACGGUGGCCGUACUUUGAUUGGAUGCAAAUGAUAUUGGUUGUGACUGUAAUAUCAGUCGAUCCUUUGUUUUUCUA
rnacentral:lncRNA from 1 species